rnacentral:rRNA from 1 species
CCUACGGGGGGCUGCAGUGGGGGAUAUUGCACAAUGGGGGAAACCCUGAUGCAGCGACGCCGCGUGGGUGAAGAAGUAUUUCGGUAUGUAAAGCCCUAUCAGCAGGGAAGAAAGAAGACGGUACCUGACUAAGAAGCCCCGGCUAACUACGUGCCAGCAGCCGCGGUAAUACGUAGGGGGCGAGCGUUAUCCGGAUUCACUGGGUGUAAAGGGAGCGUAGACGGCCGUGCAAGCCAGGAGUGAAAGCCCGGGGCCCAACCCCGGGGCUGCUCUUGGAACUGUGCGGCUGGAGUGCGGGAGGGGCAGGCGGAAUUCCUGGUGUAGCGGUGAAAUGCGUAGAUAUCAGGAGGAACACCGGCGGCGAAGGCGGCCUGCUGGACCGCGACUGACGUUGAGGCUCGAAAGCGUGGGGAGCGAACAGGAUUAGAUACCCGAGUAGUC